GAUGAACGCUGGCGGCGUGCUUAACACAUGCAAGUCGAACGGUGAACGAGGGAGCUUGCUCCCUCCGGAUCAGUGGCGAACGGGUGAGUAACACGUGAGCAAUCUGCCCUGGACUCUGGGAUAAGCGUUGGAAACGACGUCUAAUACCGGAUACGAGGCGUGCGGCCAUCCCCAACGCCUGGAAAGAACUUCGGUCCAGGAUGAGCUCGCGGCCUAUCAGCUAGUUGGUGAGGUAACGGCUCACCAAGGCGACGACGGGUAGCCGGCCUGAGAGGGUGACCGGCCACACUGGGACUGGGACACGGCCCAGACUCCUACGGGAGGCAGCAGUGGGGAAUAUUGCACAAUGGGCGCAAGCCUGAUACAGCAACGCCGCGUGAGGGACGACGGCCUUCGGGUUGUAAACCUCUUUUAGCAGGGAAGAAGCGAAAGUGACGGUACCUGCAGAAAAAGCACCGGCUAACUACGUGCCAGCCGCCGCCGUAACAC
rnacentral:rRNA from 1 species